rnacentral:rRNA from 1 species
GGCGUGUACUGCUUGGCUGGGCCUUACUUCUUGGUGAGCCGGCGUGCCCUUUAUUGGUGUGCGUCGGGGAACCAGGACUUUUACCUUGAGAAAAUUAGAGUGUUCAAAGCAGGCCUAUGCCUGAAUACAUUAGCAUGGAAUAAUAGAAUAGGACGUGCGGUUCUAUUUUGUUGGUUUCUAGAGUCGCCGUAAUGAUUAAUAGGGACAGUUGGGGGCAUUGGUAUUGAGUCGCUAGAGGUGAAAUUCUUGGAUUGACUCAAGACCGACUAUUGCGAAAGCAUUUGCCAAGGAUGUUUUCAUUAAUCAAGAACGAAGGUUAGGGGAUCGAAAACGAUCAGAUACCGUUGUAGUCUUAACAGUAAACUAUGCCGACUAGGGAUCGGAUGACCUCAAAAUUGAUGUGUCAUUCGGCACCUUACGAGAAAUCAAAGUCUUUGGGUUCUGGGGAGAGUAUGGUCGCAAGGCUGAAACUUAAAGGAAUUGACGGAAGGGCACCACCAGGUGUGGAGCCUGCGGCUUAAUUUGACUCAACACGGGGAAACUCACCAGGUCCAGACAUAACUAGGAUUGACAGAUUGAUAGCUCUUUCAUGAUUUUAUGGGUGGUGGUGCAUGGCCGUUCUUAGUUGGUGGAGUGAUUUGUCUGGUUAAUUCCGAUAACGAACGAGACCUUAACCUGCUAAAUAGCCAGGCCGGCUUCGGCUGGUCUCUGGCUUCUUAGAGGGACUGUCAG